rnacentral:rRNA from 1 species
UGGGGAAUAUUGGACAAUGGGCGAAAGCCUGAUCCAGCCAUGCCGCGUGUGUGAAGAAGGUCUUCGGAUUGUAAAGCACUUUAAGUUGGGAGGAAGGGCAGUAAGUUAAUACCUUGCUGUUUUGACGUUACCGACAGAAUAAGCACCGGCUAACUCUGUGCCAGCAGCCGCGGUAAUACAGAGGGUGCAAGCGUUAAUCGGAAUUACUGGGCGUAAAGCGCGCGUAGGUGGUUUGUUAAGUUGGAUGUGAAAGCCCCGGGCUCAACCUGGGAACUUCAUCCAAAACUGGCAAGCUAGAGUACGGUAGAGGGUGGUGGAAUUUCCUGUGUAGCGGUGAAAUGCGUAGUUAUAGGAAGGAACUCCAGUGGCGAAGGCGACCACCUGGACUGAUACUGACACUGAGGUGCGAAAGCGUGGGGAGCAAACA